rnacentral:rRNA from 1 species
UAGUCCACGCCGUAAACGAUGUUAACUGGGUUUUUGGGAUUUAUUUCCAGGAGCCUGAGGGAAACCAUUAAGUUAACCACCUGGGGAGUACGAUCGCAAGAUUGAAACUCAAAGGAAUUGACGGGGGCCCGCACAAGCGGAGGAGCAUGUGGUUUAAUUCGAUGAUACGCGAGGAACCUUACCUAGGCUUAAAUGUAUUCUGACAGUCCUCGAAAGAGGAUCUUCCUUCGGGACAGAUUACAAGGUGCUGCAUGGUUGUCGUCAGCUCGUGCCGUGAGGUGUCGGGUUAAGUCCCUUAACGAGCGCAACCCCUAUCUUUAGUUGCCAGCGGAUAAUGCCGGGGACUCUAAAGAAACUGCCUACGCAAGUAGUGAGGAAGGUGGGGAUGACGUCAAAUCAGCACGGCCCUUACGUCUAGGGCUACACACGUGCUACAAUGGUCAGUUCAAAGGGCGGCUACCUGGUGACAGGAUGCUAAUCUCUAACACUGAUCUCAGUUCGGAUCGAAGUCUGCAACUCGA